rnacentral:rRNA from 1 species
GACGAACGCUGGCGGCGUGCUUAACACAUGCAAGUCGAACGGAAAGGCCCUGCUUGCAGGGUACUCGAGUGGCGAACGGGUGAGUAACACGUGGGUGAUCUGCCCUGCACUUCGGGAUAAGCCUGGGAAACUGGGUCUAAUACCGGAUAGGAGCCAUUUUUAGUGUGAUGGGUGGAAAGUUUUUUCGGUGUAGGAUGAGCUCGCGGCCUAUCAGCUUGUUGGUGGGGUAAUGGCCUACCAAGGCGGCGACGGGUAGCCGGCCUGAGAGGGUGGACGGCCACAUUGGGACUGAGAUACGGCCCAGACUCCCACGGGAGGCAGCAGUGGGGAAUAUUGCACAAUGGGCGCAAGCCUGAUGCAGCGACGCCGCGUGGGGGAUGACGGCCUUCGGGUUGUAAACUCCUUUCGCUAGGGACGAAGCUUUUUGUGACGGUACCUAGAUAAGAAGCACCGGCUAACUACGUG